rnacentral:rRNA from 1 species
GCGUGCCUAAUACAUGCAAGUCGAGCGAAUGGAUUGAGAGCUUGCUCUCAAGAAGUUAGCGGCGGACGGGUGAGUAACACGUGGGUAACCUGCCCAUAAGACUGGGAUAACUCCGGGAAACCGGGGCUAAUACCGGAUAAUAUUUUGAACUGCAUGGUUCGAAAUUGAAAGGCGGCUUCGGCUGUCACUUAUGGAUGGACCCGCGUCGCAUUAGCUAGUUGGUGAGGUAACGGCUCACCAAGGCAACGAUGCGUAGCCGACCUGAGAGGGUGAUCGGCCACACUGGGACUGAGACACGGCCCAGACUCCUACGGGAGGCAGCAGUAGGGAAUCUUCCGCAAUGGACAAAAGUCUGACGGAGCAACGCCGCGUGAGUGAUGAAGGCUUUCGGGUCGUAAAACUCUGUUGUUAGGGAAGAACAAGUGCUAGUUGAAUAAGCUGGCACCUUGACGGUACCUAACCAGAAAGCCACGGCUAACUACGUGCCAGCAGCAGCGGUAAUACGUAGGUGGCAAGCGUUAUCCGGAAUUAUUGGGCGUAAAGCGCGCGCAGGUGGUUUCUUAUGUC